rnacentral:rRNA from 1 species
UACAGAGGGGGGCGAGCGUUAUUCGGAAUUAUUGGGCGUAAAGGGCGCGUAGGCGGCUUUGCAAGUGACGGGUGAAAGCCCUCGGCUUAACCGAGGAACUGCCUGUCAGACUGUGAGGCUUGAGACCGGGAGAGGUGAGUGGAAUUCCCAGUGUAGCGGUGAAAUGCGUAGAUAUUGGGAGGAACACCAGUGGCGAAGGCGGCUCACUGGACCGGAACUGACGCUGAGGCGCGAAAGCGUGGGGAGCAAACAGG